rnacentral:rRNA from 1 species
UACGUAGGGUCCGAGCGUUGUCCGGAGUUACUGGGCGUAAAGGGCGCGCAGGCGGCGGUGCUGGCCCGGCGUGAAAGCCCCCGGCUCAACCGGGGAGGGUCGUCGGGGACCGCACCGCUUGAGGGCGGUAGGGGCCGGUGGAAUGCCUGGUGUAGUGGUGAAAUGCGUAGAUAUUGGGAGGAACACCGGUGGCGAAGGCGCUACCUGGACCGGUUCUGACGCUGAUGCGCGAAAGCGUGGGUAGCAAACAGG